rnacentral:tRNA from 1 species
CGCGGAGUGGAGCAGUUGGCAGCCCGUCGGGCUCAUAACCCGAAGGUCGUAGGUUCAAGUCCUGCCUCCGCAACCA